rnacentral:rRNA from 1 species
CAGUAGCCGCGGGAAUACGUAGGGUGCGAGCGUUAAUCGGAAUUACUGGGCGUAAAGCGUGCGCAGGCGGUUGUGUAAGACGGGUGUGAAAUCCCCGGGCUUAACCUGGGAACUGCGCUUGUGACUGCACAGCUAGAGUAUGGCAGAGGGGGGUGGAAUUCCACGUGUAGCAGUGAAAUGCGUAGAGAUGUGGAGGAACACCGAUGGCGAAGGCAGCCCCCUGGGCCAAUACUGACGCUCAUGCACGAAAGCGUGGGGAGCAAACAGGAUUAGAUACCCCCGUAGUCCCUGUCUCUUAUAC